CCAUGUUUAACUCUCUCUACUGUACAGAAAACAUGUUCGGCUAAAAGUGCAGGAGGUCACCUAACCAGCAUCACCAGUGCAGAACAGAAUGAAUUCCUUCGUAAGCUUUCUCAGGGACAACAGAAUACCCAGUUCUGGACAGGGGGAACUUACCUAAAGGGUUCAUCGUUGAAAUGGAGUGAUGGAUCUCUGAUAACCUUUGUCCAGAGGCCUCUGUCAUCCAUUUUCCAUGCUGUUGGAGGACUAAUUAACAGCCUGCUUAACAUAAAACUUUGCCUGAUGGUCAAUAUCGGAGGAGGGGCUCAGUGGGACAGCUCCCC
ensembl:lncRNA